UACGAAGGGGGCUAGCGUUGCUCGGAAUUACUGGGCGUAAAGGGAGCGUAGGCGGGUUGUCAAGUUGGGGGUGAAAGCCCGGGGCUCAACCUCGGAAUUGCCUUCAAAACUGGUAGCCUAGAGUAUGAUAGAGGUAUGUGGAACUCCGAGUGUAGAGGUGAAAUUCGUAGAUAUUCGGAAGAACACCAGUGGCGAAGGCGACAUACUGGGUCAUGACUGACGCUGAGGCUCGAAAGCGUGGGGAGCAAACAGG
rnacentral:rRNA from 1 species